rnacentral:rRNA from 1 species
AUGUCAAAGACAGCACAUGAAGAUUUCAAAGAUCAAAGGUUACUUGAUUGGGUCAAAGAAAGGUGCCCGGAAGUUAAACUUGCAUUUGAUGAGCUAUGUCCUAAAAAUGCCAAAAUGACUUCAGGAACCAUGCAAAAAGAACUUGCUAAAUAUUGUGCAAUGGCGGUCACCAAAGCAAUCAAAGAAGAGAUGGAUGGUUGUCUUUUCACUGUUCUUAUUGAUGAGUGCCGUGAUAUUUCAGUGAAAGAGCAAAUGGCUGUGGUUGUCAGGUUCUUAAGUAAAAAAGGAGAGACCAUUGAAAGAUUUUUGGGUAUCAAGCAUGUCCCAGAUACAACAUCAGCAUCUUUGAAGAAGGCUCUGUUGGAGGUUUUUGGUAAACAUGGUUUGCUUGUUGCAAAAUUGCGAGGGCAAGGGUAUGAUGGUGCAUCUAAUAUGAGAGGAGAAUUCAACGGCCUUCAAAAGUUAAUCCGUGAUGAGAAUCCAUAUGCUUUCUAUAUUCACUGCUUUGCCCACCAACUACAAUUGGUAGUUGUUGCUGUUUCGAGAUGUUGCAAGGGCGUUGAGGAUUUUUUUGAGUAUGUGACCAUGAUUGUCAAUGUAAGUGGUUCAUCUUGCAGGAGGAAGGAUAAAUUGCUUGAUAAGCAAAAGCAGAUCCUUUUGGAUAAGAUUGAGAGGGGUGAGAUGCCCACGGGAAGAGGGAAAAAUCAAGCAACCUCAUUGGUCAGACCUGGAGAUACACGUUGGGGCUCUCAUUACACAACUUUAUCCCGCAUUGAAUCAAUGUGGGAUGCAGUGAUAGAAGUUUUGGGCAUUGUUGAGGAGGAUGUGCGUGUUCCAUGUAGGGCAGGAGGUUUGGUUCAUCAAAUGGAGACUUUCAGCUUCGUGUUCAUCCUAAAGAUGAUGUUAAAAAUCCUUCGUAUGACAAAUGAUCUAUCUCUUCUAUUGCAAAAGAAGGAUCAAAAUGUUGUUCAGGCUAUGUCAUUGGUUACGGAUGUGAGAACACGUUUGAUCAAUUGGAGAAAUGAUGGUUGGGAGACACUCUUGGAAGAUGUCAAAGCAUUCUGCACCAAAAAUGAAAUUCCUAUACCAAGUAUGGAUGACACCUUCACAAAAUGGGGGAAAUCAAGAAAAGGUGGAAGAAACAAUGUCACUGCUGAUCAUUUUUUCCGUGUGGACACCUUCUAUGUUGCUAUAGACUCCAUCACCACGGAGUUUGAUCAUCGUUUUAAUGAGGUAUCUUCAGAGCUCCUCCAGAACUUCUCUUGUCUUGACCCAAGAGACUCCUUUUCUAGGUUCAAUAUCAGUAAGCUUGCUCGACUCACAGAGAUUUAUCAUGAGGAUUUCUCUAGUUAUGACCGUGAGCAUAUACAAGAUCAUCUUGAGCUAUUCAUUAUUCAUAUGAGAAGAAUUGAAGAUUUUAGAGAUUGUCAUGAUAUUGCAAGCCUAGCUAAAAAGAUGGUUGAACUUGAAAGGCACAUCAUGUUUCCCACGGUUUAUCGCCUCAUUGAGCUGGCAUUGCUACUACCGGUAGCAACAGCAACAGUUGAAAGGGCUUUUUCAGCAAUGAAAAUCAUCAAGACCGAGUUGCGCAGCAAGAUGUCCGAUGGCUGGCUUAAUGACUUGAUGGUGUGUUACAUUGAGCGAGGGAUAUUCAAAAGUCUUGAUCUUGGUAAAAUUAAGAAAGAUUUUCACAAGAAGGGUAGGGCACUACCGUUGCCUGGGUCUUCUACGCGCCAUUAA